GCACAGCAGUAAGCUUGCUUCCUGUGGGUGGCGAGUGGCGGACGGGUGAGGAAUACAUGGGAAUCUGCCCAGUCGUGGGGGAUAACGUAUGGAAACGUACGCUAAUACCGCAUGCGCCCUUCGGGGGAAAGCCGGGGAUCUUCGGACCUGGCGCGAUUGGAUGAGCCCAUGUCGGAUUAGCUAGUUGGGGGGGUAAUGGCCCACCAAGGCGACGAUCCGUAGCUGGUCUGAGAGGAUGAUCAGCCACACUGGAACUGAGACACGGUCCAGACUCCUACGGGAGGCAGCAGUAGGGAAUAUUGGACAAUGGGCGCAAGCCUGAUCCAGCCAUGCCGCGUGUGUGAAGAAGGCCUUCGGGUUGUAAAGCACUUUUAUCCGGAAAGAAAAGCGCUGGGUUAAUACCCUGGUGUUCUGACGGUACCGGAAGAAUAAGCACCGGCUAACUUCGUGCCAGCAGCCGCGGUAAUACGAAGGGUGCAAGCGUUACUCGGAAUUACUGGGCGUAAAGCGUGCGUAGGUGGUUUGUUAAGUCUGAUGUGAAAGCCCUGGGCUCAACCUGGGAAUUGCAUUGGAUACUGGCAGGCUAGAGUGCGGUAGAGGGUAGUGGAAUUUCCCGGUGUAGCAGUGAAAUGCGUAGAGAUCGGGAGGAACAUCCGUGGCGAAAGGCGACUACCUGGACCAGCACUGACACUGAGGCACGAAAGCGUGGGGAGCAAACAGGAAUAAGAUACCCUGGUAAUCCAACGCCCUAAACAAUGCGAACUGGAAUGUUGGGUUCAACUUGGAACCUCAUUAUCGAAGCUAACGCGUUAAGUUCGCCGCCUGGGGAGUACGGUCGCAAGACUGAAACUCAAAGGAAUUGACGGGGGCCCGCACAAGCGGUGGAGUAUGGUGGUUUAAUUCGAUGCAACGCGAAGAACCUUACCUGGCCUUGACAUGCACGGAACUUUCCAAAGAUGGAUUGGUGCCUUCGGGAACCGUGACACAGGUGCUGCAUGGCUGUCGUCACCUCCUGUCUUGAGAUGUUGGGUUAAGUCCCGCAACGACCGCAACCCUUGU
rnacentral:rRNA from 1 species